rnacentral:rRNA from 1 species
GACGAAGGGGGCUAGCGUUGUUCGGAAUUACUGGGCGUAAAGCGCGUGUAGGCGGUUGUUCAAGUCAGGUGUGAAAGCCCUGGGCUCAACCCAGGAAGUGCACUCGAAACUGCAAGGCUAGAGUACUGGAGAGGUUGGUGGAAUUCUCGGUGUAGAGGUGAAAUUCGUAGAUAUCGAGAGGAACACCGGUGGCGAAGGCGGCCAACUGGACAGAUACUGACGCUGAGACUCGAAAGCGUGGGGAGCAAACAGG